UUUUUUUUAAAAGUAAUUAUGUUCUUGACUAACAUUAUCAUUAACUUUUCUAAUUGUGUGGUUUUUUUUUUGAAAAGUAAUCAUGUUCUUGACUAACAUUGUCAUUAACUUUUCCAAACACUACUUCUUAGACAUAUACAGCACUCCCUGCAUAUAAAAAGCAUAGAACGCUUUAACAGAACUGAUUGAUGACAUCUAGCCAUAUUCAUUCAUCGCCCAAUAAAACAGACAGUAAACUUUGCAAACAACAACAAAUACGUCCGACGACCAAAACAAAUAUUAUAAAAGAAUAAC
rnacentral:lncRNA from 1 species